rnacentral:pre_miRNA from 14 species
CUUUAAGCCAUCCUGGCACCAAGUGAAAGACCCCCGGAGUGGGGAGACCCUCACUCAAGUCUCAGGAUGACGCAAGCCCCCAAGAACUCACACAAGACC